UACGUAGGGGGCUAGCGUUGUCCGGAAUCAUUGGGCGUAAAGCGCGUGUAGGCGGCCCGGUAAGUCCGCUGUGAAAGUCGGGGGCUCAACCCUCGGAUGCCGGUGGAUACUGUCGGGCUCGAGUACGGAAGAGGCGAGUGGAAUUCCUGGUGUAGCGGUGAAAUGCGCAGAUAUCAGGAGGAACACCAAUUGCGAAGGCAGCUCGCUGGGACGUAACUGACGCUGAGACGCGAAAGGCGGUGGGAGCAAACAGGG
rnacentral:rRNA from 1 species